AUGAAGAAUUCGGGAGAGAACGCGAAUGCGUCGCCGAAGGGGAACUCGCAAAAGCUCUCAGGCAAAAGUACCGGAUUCCGACG
rnacentral:ncRNA from 2 species